rnacentral:rRNA from 1 species
GCCUUAUCGUCGGCAGCGUCAGAUGUGUAUAAGAGACAGGAUAAUAAUCGGGCAUAAGUAUUCUACCGAAGCUUUGGGAUGAGAAAUCAUCGGUAGGGGAGCAUUCCACUCGGCGUCGAAGGUGAAGCGCGAGCUUUGCUGGAGCGUGUGGAAAAGCAAAUGUAGGUAUAAGUAACGAUAAAGGGGGUGAGAAACCCCCUCGCCGAAAGACUAAGGUUUCCUGAUCAACGCUAAUCGGAUCAGGGUAAGUCGGGUCCUAAGGCUCAGCCGAACGGCGAGGCCGAUGGCAGAACCGGUUAAUAUUCCGGUACUACCUGUGGGAGUGACGUGGAGACGGAGUCGUGACAGCGCCGCGGACUGACGGAAUAGUCCGUUGAAGGGUGUAGAUGCUGAUUGUUCCAGGCAAAUCCGGAGCAAGAGUCGAACCUGACAGUAUGGAGCGUUCUUAGAACAAUCCAAUAGUGCGUGUAAUCAUACUUCCAAGAAAAUCCGCUAAACUUAAUCCUGCAGGUACCCGUACCGCAAACGGACACACGUAGUCGGGAUGAAUAUUCUAAGGCGCUUGAGUGAUUCACGGUUAAGGAACUAGGCAAACUGACCCUGUAACUUCGGGAUAAAGGGUCCUCGCUUUACGGCGAGGCGCAGAGAAUAGGUCCAGGCAACUGUUUAACAAAAACACAGGGCUGUGCAAAAUUGAAAGAUGAAGUAUACAGCCUGACACCUGCCCGGUGCUGGAAGGUUAAGAGGAGAUGUCAUCGCAAGAGAAGCAUUGAAUUGAAGCCCCAGUAAACGGCGGCCGUAACUAUAACGGUCCUAAGGUAGCGAAAUUCCUUGUCGGGUAAGUUCCGACCUGCACGAAUGGUGUAAUGAUCUGGACACUGUCUCAACCGUGAGCUCAGUGAAAUUGUAGUAUCGGUGAAGAUGCCGAUUACCCGCGAUGGGACGAAAAGACCCCGUGAACCUUUACUAUAGCUUUACAUUGAGUUUGGGCAGACGAUGUGUAGGAUAGGCCGGAGGCUUUGAAGCAGGUACGCCAGUAUUUGUGGAGCCGACGUUGAAAUACGGCCCUUCGGUUGUUUGAGUUCUAACUCCUAGGCAGGAGGACACUGUAUGGUGGGUAGUUUGACUGGGGUGGUCGCCUCCAAAAGCGUAACGGAGGCUUCUAAAGGUGCCCUCAGGACGAUUGGUAACCGUCCGUAGAGUGUAAUGGCAUAAGGGCGCUUGACUGGGAGACUGACAAGUCGAUCAGGUAGGAAACUAGAGCAUAGUGAUCCGGUGUUUCCGUAUGGAAGGGACAUCGCUCAAAGGAUAAAAGGUACUCCGGGGAUAACAGGCUGAUCCCUCCCAAGAGCUCAUAUCGACGGAGUGGUUUGGCACCUCGAUGUCGGCUCGUCACAUCCUGGGGCUGGAGAAGGUCCCAAG